UAGUGUUAAGAUGCAAGUCAGGAGGAGAACCUUGUCCAGACUUGACCAUGCUGGCACCCCGGUCGUGACUUCAGCAUCCACAACUGUCAGGAAAUACACUUCUGUUGUUCAAGCCAUCCAGUAUAUUUUCUGUGGUUAAGGUAACCUGAGCCGACUAAGACAGUACCAAGAAGGAAGCUCCAGAUUUGAAGCUAAAACUCUGAGAAACCAAGAGCUGAGGAAGAAGGCAGGCUCCUCCCAGACACAGGAAGGAGCCAACUAGCCUAUGGAACAGGUGAAAUUGAAACCCAUCAGAGAAGGGAUGCUAAGACACUCUGAUUAGAAGACCUAUGAA